GUCCAUGGUAGCCUAGUGGACAUGGCAUCUGCCCGGUAAGCGGAAGGUCGUGGGUUCGAUUCCCGCCCCUGGACA